UACGUAGGGUGCAAGCGUUGUCCGGAAUUAUUGGGCGUAAAGAGCUCGUAGGCGGUUCGUCGCGUCGGCUGUGAAAACCCGGAGCUCAACUCCGGGCCUGCAGUCGAUACGGGCGGACUCGAGUUCGGCAGGGGAGACUGGAAUUCCUGGUGUAGCGGUGAAAUGCGCAGAUAUCAGGAGGAACACCGGUGGCGAAGGCGGGUCUCUGGGCAUGUCCUGACGCUGAGGAGCGAAAGUGUGGGGAGCGAACAGG
rnacentral:rRNA from 1 species